rnacentral:rRNA from 1 species
GACGAACGCUGGCGGCGUGCUUAACACAUGCAAGUCGAACGGAAAGGCCCUUCGGGGUACUCGAGUGGCGAACGGGUGAGUAACACGUGGGUGAUCUGCCCUGCACUUUGGGAUAAGCCUGGGAAACUGGGUCUAAUACCGAAUAGGACCACGCGCUUCAUGGUGUGUGGUGGAAAGCUUUUGCGGUGUGGGAUGGGCCCGCGGCCUAUCAGCUUGUUGGUGGGGUAAUGGCCUACCAAGGCGACGACGGGUAGCCGGCCUGAGAGGGUGACCGGCCACACUGGGACUGAGAUACGGCCCAGACUCCUACGGGAGGCAGCAGUGGGGAAUAUUGCACAAUGGGCGCAAGCCUGAUGCAGCGACGCCGCGUGAGGGAUGACGGCCUUCGGGUUGUAAACCUCUUUCAAUAGGGACGAAGCGCAAGUGACGGUACCUAUAGAAGAAGCACCGGCCAACUACGUGCCAGCAGCCGCGGUAAUACGUAGGGUGCGAGCGUUGUUCGGAAUUACUGGGCGUAAAGAGCUCGUAGGUGGUUUGUCGCGUUGUUCGUGAAAACUCACAGCUUAUCUGUGGGCGUGCGGGCGAUACGGGCAGACUAGAGUACUGCAGGGGAGACUGGAAUUCCUGGUGUAGCGGUGGAAUGCGCAGAUAUCAGGAGGAACACCGGUGGCGAAGGCGGGUCUCUGGGCAGUAACUGACGCUGAGGAGCGAAAGCGUGGGGAGCGAACAGGAUUAGAUACCCUGGUAGUCCACGCCGUAAACGGUGGGUACUAGGUGUGGGUUCCUUCCUUGGGAUCCGUGCCGUAGCUAACGCAUUAAGUACCCCGCCUGGGGAGUACGGCCGCAAGGCUAAAACUCAAAGGAAUUGACGGGGGCCCGCACAAGCGGCGGAGCAUGUGGAUUAAUUCGAUGCAACGCGAAGAACCUUACCUGGGUUUGACAUGCACAGGACGCCGGCAGAGAUGUCGGUUCCCUUGUGGCCUGUGUGCAGGUGGUGCAUGGCUGUCGUCAGCUCGUGUCGUGAGAUGUUGGGUUAAGUCCCGCAACGAGCGCAACCCUUGUCCUAUGUUGCCAGCGGGUUAUGCCGGGGACUCGUAGGAGACUGCCGGGGUCAACUCGGAGGAAGGUGGGGAUGACGUCAAGUCAUCAUGCCCCUUAUGUCCAGGGCUUCACACAUGCUACAAUGGCCGGUACAAAGGGCUGCGAUGCCGUGAGGUGGAGCGAAUCCUUUCAAAGCCGGUCUCAGUUCGGAUCGGGGUCUGCAACUCGACCCCGUGAAGUCGGAGUCGCUAGUAAUCGCAGAUCAGCAACGCUGCGGUGAAUACGUUCCCGGGCCU